AUGGAGGACGAUCUGCAGGAGUUUUUAAGGUCACGAGAUGUUCCAGAAGAGGACAUCAUCUUCAUGAAAAGGGACAAGGAUGGAUUAGACAGUGAUACUGAGAGACCUGCUGCAGAAGUGUCAUGGCAUGGACAUGAAAGUGAUCUUGAGGAUACAAGCACACAUUUAUUGGAUGACAGACUUUCAUAUAACAAAGACACCAAGAGGAAGAUUCCUCCGCUACAAAACAGCAUAGUUCAGAAUCUUGGAGAUGAUGAUGAUAAAGAAGACACAGUUGAAUGGAAUGAAGGCGAAGAACUUGAACAAACAGAUGAGGACCAAGAUGUUAAAAUAACAUGGAAUGAGAACAUCAUACAGAAUGCAGAGUUCAAUGAAGCUGAACAUGGGGUGCCAUCACCACCCUCAAUUAAUAGCAAUCCUGCACUGCUGAUGGGUAGUGAAAUGCCUUCACUACCAGAAGAGUCGCCAUCCCAUACAGGAAACCAUCUUUCUCUUAUAACUUCAUAUGGAAACUCAGAGAAUGCAAAAGUUGUGCAUGCUUUAAUACACAGGGUUAAGGUUGUAGAAGAUCUUUUGGCUGUGUUCAUGGAUAGCAGCAUAAUUCAAUCUACUCUGAGGAUGGAAUUUGUAAAUGAGAACGCUGUAGAUGAUGCUGGAGUGUCCAGAGAAGUUUACACUGCAUUCUGGGAUCAGUUCCUUGAACAGUGUGAAGGGGAAGAUGAGCGGGUUCCUAGACUGAGACCAGACUUCUCUGAAGCUGAAUGGGAGGCAGUAGGAAGGAUCUGGGUAAAAGGAUUACUUGACCUUGGUGUACUCCCAGUAAGGCUUUCCAGUGCUUUCAUUUUAGCAUGUAUCCAUGGAAUUGACUCAGUCAAUGAUGAUUUCCUGAUGUCAUCUUUCCACAACUACCUCUCUUUGACUGAACGAGCUGCCGUUGCAAAGGCUUGCCAAGGCACACUGGAGGAAUGUGAUGAAGAUGAUUUGCUUGACCUCUUCACAAGAAUGGGCUCCCAUUGCAUCCCUCCAAAAAACACCAUGAAAGUUGCUAUCCAAACAGUAGCUCACAAAGCAAUUCUUCAAGAGCCCAAAUAUGUAAUAGAUUGUUUCUCCAGAGCCAUGCCAUUUGCACUGCUGAAAGUACCAGACCAGGAAAGUCUAGUGUCUCUGUAUGACACAAAGAAGGCCACUGGCAAAAAAGUGGCACAGCUACUUCAAACAACACAGGUGAUUUGCUCUCAGAAAGAACAGAUGGUAUUCAAUCAUCUGCAACGUUAUAUCAGAAGUGCUGACCAAAGCAAAGUGGAAAAAUUUCUACGGUUCUGCACUGGUUCUUCUGUUAUCUGUGUUGAUCAAAUCAAGGUAAGCUUCAAUGCAGAAUCUGGCCUCAGCAGAAGACCAGUAGCUCAUACCUGUGGAGCUACUCUUGAUUUAUCUUAUAAUUACAGUUCUUACCCAGACCUCCGCACAGAGUUUGACAACAUUCUCUCUAGUGAUUACUUUGAAAUGGACAUCCUGUGAAUUUGAUGCUGCUUAGGAAUAGUUAAAAGUCAUCCAAGUCACUUUUAUGGAACUUGAUUGUCUGUAGUUAUAAACUUGUUGGUAACAAUCUGUAUGAAGGUAUUUUUAUCUACCUUUUCAAAAAGAACAGCACGCUACAAACAGCAGCUUUUUUUGGAUAACUAUUCAUUUAAAUAGCCCCUAUAUUAUUACUUUGAUUUACAUUUUACUGUCAUAACAUUAAUUUUGUUAUUCAAAUAGCUGUAGAGUUUUCCAGCAAAUAGUCAAGUUUGUUCUUGUUGUGUUUUGUUUGCACAAAGGAAAUUUCAAUAUAUUUUGAAAUAUUUUUGCAUCUGCAAAGUAUUGAAACAGUCUUCAUAGUAUGCAACAUCACUUUUGUUGUUAGUAUGAAAAGUGCACUGAACCAUUAACUUUUUUUUUUGUUGUUGUUAAUUACAUAAAAUGUAACCACAUAAUAUGUGGUCAGGUUUGUUUUAAAAUAUAUCCUUCAGCCAUUAAUAUUGCAAAAUUAUUAUAUGAUUCUUAUGUUAAUUCAUUCUUAUUUAUUUUUUUUCAUAAAGUUUUCAGAAAUUAUAUUUUUUUUAUUUCAUAAUGUUUUAACACAGAGUUUACAUGUUGAUUCAGGUUCAAAUUUGGAAAUGAACAUUUCCUCUGUAGCAGUUCUUUCCAGUUAUAAACAACUUUGAAAACAAAAUAAACAAUUUUGCAAAAGUGUUUUCA
ensembl:lncRNA